rnacentral:rRNA from 1 species
AGAGUUUGAUCCUGGCUCAGGGUUAACGCUGGCGGUGCGCAUAACACAUGCAAGUCGAGCGAGGGCUUAUUUCUCGCAAGAGAGAUGAGUUCCUAGCGGCGAACGGGUGAGUAACACGUGGGUAACCUUUCCUAUCGCGGGGGAUAACACCGGGAAACCGAUGCUAAUACCGCAUGUCGUCACCGGCUCAUGGUUGGUGAAGAAAGCAGCAAUGCACGAUGGGGUGGGCCCGCGGCCUAUCAGCUAGUCGGUGGGGUAACGGCCUACCGAGGCGAUGACGGGUAGCUGGUCUGAGAGGACGGCCAGCCACACGGGGACUGAGACACGGCCCCGACUCCUACGGGAGGCAGCAGUGAGGAAUCUUCCGCAAUGGGCGAAAGCCUGACGGAGCGACACCGCGUGUGGGAUGAAGUCUUUCGGGAUGUAAAACCACUGUCGGAGGGGAAGAUAGUGACGGUACCCUCCAAGAAAGCCCCGGCUAACUACGUGCCAGCAGCCGCGGUAAUACGUAGGGGGCGAGCGUUAUCCAGAUUUACUGGGCGUAAAGCGCGUGUAGGCGGCUGGUUAGGUGUGAUGUGAAAUCUUCGGGCUCAACCCGAAAAAUGCAUUGCAAACCGGCCUGGCUAGAGUGCAGGAGAGGGAAGCGGAAUUCCAGGUGUAGCGGGAAAUGCGUAGAUAUCUGGAGGAACACCAGUGGCGAAGGCGGCUUCCUGGCCUG